GAAGUAUUUUUUAGCUAGUAUGGCGAUGUUUUCUGUAUUCUUGACAGUACAUAAUUUUUUCAUUAGUCCAAUACUAUGAGUUAACUAUUGUUUUACCUUAAUGAAAUAUAAUUUAGUCUCGCCGCAUCAAUUGAGAGAAGGAGAAAUCCGCCUUGCUUUUAAUGGUAACGAAAGAGAAGUUUGUAAUAAACAAUACAGCAAAAACUGGAUGGCGGAAGACGUACAAGCAACAAAAAAGUUCCGUUCUAAAAAUUUUAAUCAACAUUUUACAAACAUUAUGAAAGAACCAAAUGUUUACCUUUACUUUUAUCCUGUGUUAGCAAUACAAGUCAAGUUGUAUGUAAGUUUUUCUAUUAUAUCUUCAAUCAAUAACUAAUUCACAAUCAAACUGUAAGAUAUAGUUGAAACUAGCAAUAUGUUUUGAUAUAGCAAACUGUCCUAUUAAACUGAUAUAUUAUACUAUUGUAUUAUGGUAUUUCCAAA